UACUAUUUUCUCGUUUUCCCAGGUGUCUCGGACGUUAUUUCAUCAGGACAGACAAUUUUAGUCAGAAAUGGGCGAGAAUUGACUGGCUGGUAUCAGAUUUGGCCAAAACUGAAUCAACGAAGUCAAUUUUAGUAAAAAACUGGACUGGGGGUGGGAGGAACGGGUUCACUGAUCGCUAUUAUCCCGUGAUGGUGUGACCCAAAAUAGUUUGCUAGGUUGUUGCAGCUUAUUCGAAGUUCUAUCAAGGGGUCCCGAUGCUAAAAGAGUAAUAUCAUAACCCGAGCCGGGGCCCUGGCCGCGACGGGCAUUCUGAACCAUCAAAGACCGAGAUACCCCUGAA
rnacentral:lncRNA from 1 species